UACGGAGGGGGCUAGCGUUGUUCGGAAUUGCUGGGCGUAAAGCGCACGUAGGCGGCGAUCUAAGUCAGAGGUGAAAGCCCGGGGCUCAACCCCGGAAUAGCCUUUGAGACUGGAUUGCUAGAAUCUUGGAGAGGCGGGUGGAAUUCCGAGUGUAGAGGUGAAAUUCGUAGAUAUUCGGAAGAACACCAGUGGCGAAGGCGGCCCGCUGGACAAGUAUUGACGCUGAGGUGCGAAAGCGUGGGGAGCAAACAGG
rnacentral:rRNA from 1 species